rnacentral:rRNA from 1 species
CACGUAGGCACCAAGCGUUGUCCGGAUUUAUUGGGCGUAAAGAGCUCGUAGGCGGUUCGGUAAGUCGGGUGUGAAAACUCUGGGCUCAACCCAGAGCCGCCACCCGAUACUGCUGUGACUCGAGUGCGGUAGGGGAGUGGGGAAUUCCUGGUGUAGCGGUGGAAUGCGCAGAUAUCAGGAGGAACACCAAUAGCGAAGGCAGCUCGCUGGGACGGUAUUGACGCUAAGGCGCGAAAGCGUGGGGAGCAAACAGG